rnacentral:rRNA from 1 species
AUGGCCGGUUGUGGGGCUGCGCCGCCGCCAUCGAAGAGAAUCGCCUCGGCCGCUCCAGCAGGGCGGGGCGGGGAGGAGCCGCCUCCGGCGGCGGGGGCCGGGCGUGGAGCCCUCGUGCCGCCAGGCCAAAGGCAGCCGGCUGGCGGGGGGGUUCCACUGGGACAGGGCCGCGGUAACGCUACUUCGGGCGGGAGGCCGCCGGCGCCCGUUGCUCAGCCGGUAGCAGGUCGAGGUGGGACUAGACCUCCAGCGUCGGGGGCGUCCCUGCAACCAGCGGCAGGAAAGGGCGGGCUCAGGCCUCCGGCGCCCGUCGCUCCGCAGGCUGCGGGUAGAGGCGGGCCUAGGCCCCCAACGCUGGGCGCGGCUGGUGCAGCCGGUACUGGCAGAGGUCAUUCUCAUGGCGCGCCUCCGCCUAACUUCGUCGCGCGGCCGGCUCAAAACCGGUCGGGACCAUCUCAGACGAGGCAGAUUUCUAGUUCUAAAGACUCCCGUGCUCCGCCCCGAGGCCAAUGGGGGGACGAUGGGUUAGAUGUGUAUGGCGAUGGACAGCACCGGGGUUCCUCAUCCACGGGAGGGGGGCGUGGUUAUGCCUGGCAGAGUGACGGGUCUGCUGAGAGUCCAUUUCUCGGGCCUCCAGGAGGUUUUGUUGAGGGUGCUUCCGGUCCGGAUCACCGCCAGAGAGGGGGUCACCGUGGACAUCGUGGUGGUCGGGGCGGUGGCCGCGGGAGGUAUCAUCGCAGACCGCCUCCGCCUUCGGCAGUUGUUGACCAAGCGGAGUCAGUUGUGGAGACCGUUUGCGCUUCCACGGAGCUCCCUCCCCAGGCGAUGGAGGUGGUAGCGGCUUUAGCCAAUGUUGAGGUUCCGGCGACUGGGAGUGUGACUGAGGUUACCGACAGGUCUGAUGCUGAGAGGGCGUCCAAGUGGGCGCGUAAGAAGGAAAGGAUGCUUUGCUACCGUUGUGGUGAGAAGGGCCACUUCAUUGCUGAAUGCGUGGCAAAGUUGUGUGAGACCUGUGGUAAGCCGGCACAUGCCUCGGGGGAUUGCCCGUUGUUGCGUGACCAGGCUCCGUCUUUGACAAUGUAUGGAGUUUAUUGUGCUGAGCUAAUGUUCUUUGAGUCCCCGGCCGCGAGAGAGAUUCCGGAGGAGACUUUGAGCUUGACCACCGGGGUUGUCAAAGCUACUCAGGGUGAGGUUUCGAAGGCUCAGAUUGUGCAGAGGCUUCAGGAACUGGCACCGGGGGACUUCCAUUGGGAGCUCGUUCCUCUCGAGGCCAAGGUUUUUAAGGUGGAGUUUCCUUCAGUGGACGACAGAGACUGUUGA